rnacentral:rRNA from 1 species
UACAGAGACUGCAAGCGUUAUUCGGAUUCACUGGGCGUAAAGGGUGCGCAGGCGGCCGUGUGUGUGAGGCGUGAAAGCCCGAUGCUUAACAUCGGAAUUGCACCUCAAACUACACGGCUAGAGCAUUGGAGAGGGUAGCGGAAUUCACGGUGUAGCAGUGAAAUGCGUAGAUAUUCGGAAGAACACCAGUGGCGAAGGCGGCUCACUG